rnacentral:rRNA from 1 species
GAUGAACGCUGGCGGCGUGCCUAAUACAUGCAAGUCGAGCGAACGGACGAGAAGCUUGCUUCUCUGAUGUUAGCGGCGGACGGGUGAGUAACACGUGGAUAACCUACCUAUAAGACUGGGAUAAAUUCGGGAAACCGGAGCUAAUACCGGAUAAUAUUUUGAACCGCAUGGUUCAAAAGUGAAAGACGGUCUUGCUGUCACUUAUAGAUGGAUCCGCGCUGCAUUAGCUAGUUGGUAAGGUAACGGCUUACCAAGGCAACGAUGCAUAGCCGACCUGAGAGGGUGAUCGGCCACACUGGAACUGAGACACGGUCCAGACUCCUACGGGAGGCAGCAGUAGGGAAUCUUCCGCAAUGGGCGAAAGCCUGACGGAGCAACGCCGCGUGAGUGAUGAAGGUCUUCGGAUCGUAAAACUCUGUUAUUAGGGAAGAACAUAUGUGUAAGUAACUGUGCACAUCUUGACGGUACCUAAUCAGAAAGCCACGGCUAACUACG